rnacentral:tRNA from 1 species
GGAUGUAGCUCAGUGGUGUAGUACUUGCCUAGCAAGCAAGAGGCUCUGGGUUAGAUCCCUGGUACCA